GAUGAACGCUGGCGGCGUGCCUAAUACAUGCAAGUCGAGCGAAUGGAUUAAGAGCUUGCUCUUAUGAAGUUAGCGGCGGACGGGUGAGUAACACGUGGGUAACCUGCCCAUAAGACUGGGAUAACUCCGGGAAACCGGGGCUAAUACCGGAUAACAUUUUGAACCGCAUGGUUCGAAAUUGAAAGGCGGCUUCGGCUGUCACUUAUGGAUGGACCCGCGUCGCAUUAGCUAGUUGGUGAGGUAACGGCUCACCAAGGCAACGAUGCGUAGCCGCACUGAGAGGGUGAUCGGCCACACUGGGACUGAAACACGGCCCAGACUCCUACGGGAGGCAGCAGUAGGGAAUCUUCCGCAAUGGACGAAAGUCUGACGGAGCAACGCCGCGUGAGUGAUGGAGGCUUUCGGGUCGUAAAACUCUGUUGUUAGGGAAGAACAAGUGCUAGUUGAAUAAGCUGACACCUUGACGGUACCUAACCAGAAAGCCACGGCUAACUACGUGCCAGCCGCCGCGGUAA
rnacentral:rRNA from 1 species